ACCAUCAGGGGGGCAGCUGAACCUCAGGGAGGGGUUACCUUUUGAGGAGUCCUUGCUCGAUGAGUGGGAAUUUGUCCCAUGGAAAGAUACUGAGCAUGCAGUACAUGAGUUUGGAAUCUUCCAAGGAGGAAAAUGCUAUCAUCUCUCUUGAGAGAAAGCUUGAAGAUCUUACUCAUUGGAGGCUACUUCAAGUACAUGUUACUAAUGAUCUGGGAAAUGUGUUUCCAAGUAGUUGGAAAGGACAAAUCACUUUGAGGCCAAGCCAGUAGAGAGCCAGUGUGAAUCCUCCCUUCAUUAGCAAGCAAAGACCUUCAAGAUGUCAGAGCUGCUAUUUGGAAACAGCCCAGGAUCUUGAGCACCCUUGGAGGAAAGCCACCUCCCUCACCUCAGACUGUGACAUGAGCAAGAGAUGAGAAAACUGAUGCAGAGUGCUUAUGGAACUUGCAACAAUACCAGAAGGAUGUACUUUCUGAUG